UACGUAGGUGGCAAGCGUUGUCCGGAAUUAUUGGGCGUAAAGCGCGCGCAGGCGGUUUCUUAAGUCUGAUGUGAAAGCCCACGGCUCAACCGUGGAGGGUCAUUGGAAACUGGGAGACUUGAGUGCAGAAGAGGAAAGCGGAAUUCCACGUGUAGCGGUGAAAUGCGUAGAGAUGUGGAGGAACACCAGUGGCGAAGGCGGCUUUCUGGUCUGUAACUGACGCUGAGGCGCGAAAGCGUGGGGAGCAAACAGG
rnacentral:rRNA from 1 species